CAAGGAAUCUUCCGCAAUGGGCGCAAGCCUGACGGAGCGACGCCGCGUGGGGGAGGACGCCCUUCGGGGUGUAAACCCCUUUUCCCGGGGAAGACCCUGACGGUACCCGGGGAAGAAGGCCCGGCAAACUACGUGCCAGCAGCCGCGGUAACACGUAGGGGCCGAGCGUUGUCCGGAGUUACUGGGCGUAAAGGGCGCGCAGGCGGCCGCGUGGGCCCGGCGUGAAAGCCCCCGGCUCAACCGGGGAGGGUCGUCGGGGACCGCGCGGCUUGAGGGCGGGAGGGGCCGGUGGAAUCCCCGGUGUAGUGGUGAAAUGCGUAGAGAUCGGGGGGAACACCCGUGGCGAAGGCGGCCGGCUGGGCCGACCCUGACGCUGAGGCGCGAAGGCGUGGGGAGCGAACGGG
rnacentral:rRNA from 1 species